GACGAACGCUGGCGGCGUGCCUAAUACAUGCAAGUAGAACGCAGUUGCGAACGGGUGAGUAACGCGUAGGUAACUGCCUCAUAGCGGGGGAUAACUAUUGGAAACGAUAGCUAAUACCGCAUACUGUGAGAUGUACCUGCGUUGUAUUAGUUAGUUGGUGAGGUAAAGGCUCACCAAGGCCUCGAUACAUAGCCGACCUGAGAGGGAGGUCGGGCCCAAAGGGACUGAGGAACGGCCCAGACUCCUACGGGAGGCAGCAGUAGGGAAUCUUCGGCAAUGGACGGAAGUCUGACCGAGGCACGCCGCGUGAGUGGAGAAGGUUUUCGGAUCGUAAAGCUCUGUUGUUAGGGAAGCGGUAACUAAACAGAAAGGGACGGCUAACUACGUGCCAGCAGCCGCGGUAAUUC
rnacentral:rRNA from 1 species